GUAUAACAUUCUACCUCAGUUACAUGUAAGUAUAACAUUCUACCUCAGUUACAUGUAAGUAUAACAUUCUACCUCAGUUACAUGUAAGUAUAACCUUCUACCUCAGUUACAUGUAAGUAUAACCUUCUAUCUCAGUUACAAGAGCUGAUGAUAAUCUCAUCUGAGAUGUGACAAUAUUGGUGAUGGAUAUACCGGGUUAUGAGAUGUGGGUGGGGUUCCACCUCCAUCCAUAUACUGACGCAAACCUGGGAUCAAAAUCGCUUGUCUUUUUCUUUCAACUAAUCUCUGUAUCUGUAUGUAAUGUACCUGACAGGAAACAAAUACUAUUUGAACCCAGGUCUGUUACACUACAGAGCUGUGGCUCUUAUCUCAUCCACAGCAGGUUUACCAUAUAGGUGGGAAUUGAGUGCUAUUUGGGAUGCAGGCUAUGCUUCUCUGUGCCCUUUCCAUUGCCCCAGGGCGCCACACAGAGAGAAGCUCAUCCUCCAACCGCUAAUGGAACAUGUGACCUUUGACUUUUACACUGUCAGCUGCACUGAGCAAGAGGGUCUGGGCUGGUGAGGAGCCAGGAAGAGGUGGACUAGAGAAUUAGAACCAGAUUCAGAGAGACCAGGAAGUAACAUGAAUUCUGUGUAUCUAUGGAUUUUAAAUGAGGAGGUGUACUGGAGAGCAGGAACCAGAGAGGUGCCAGGGAGAAACAGGCACUGAGCAAGAGGACCUGGUUAGGAGGAGGAGGUGAACUGAGGAAGUGAGACCAGAGAGACCAGGAAGGAACAGUUAUACUGCUGUUCCUGUCUUCCAGUGAGGGAAGAGGUUGCCAUUUGGGAAGCAGACCCGGACAGCAGGCACUUUCAGACUUUCCUUAUUCUGGAUCCAAAAAGAAAGGAAACAACGCAGCGGUCCAGCCCAACUGGAAGACUGGUGCAGAAUGCCGUGUCCAAGGGGCUAACUGGCAUAGCCUGCUCAGAUGAGCAGUGACAAUGGAGUUCAGGGACUCGGAGGAACCUUGAGCCAAAGUGGUUAAACAGCAUUGACUUCCCACACCAUAAGGCCAGUGACCAAUAUGCAGAAAAGCGUCCGGAAUGUCCACCUCUGGUUCCCACUCCUGCCUCCCACCUCUGGUUCCCACUCCUGCCUCCCACCCCUGGUUCCCACUCCUGCCUCCCACCCCUGCCUCCCACCCCUGGUUCCCACUCCUGCAUUCCACUCACAGGAGGAAUUUAAUAGGAGCCUGAGACACCUGCAUCUGCCUGUGGGGAAUCUGCUCUAUGAGUGUGUUAAUGCUGAACCGACAAUAACAUCACAGCCAGUAGCAUCCCAGGUAAAAUUGGACGGAAAGGAAUAUUUAUUUAUGGCUGUACCAUUUUCAAUGUAUUUGAAGAUAAUGAGCUCCCAGUGGCUGGAAGAAUGUGGAUACUCUGUGGACCACAGAGGCACUGAUGUCAGUGUUGAAGAGCCAUGGUUAUCAGCAAGCCCUGGUGGAAUACUGAAAUCCAAGGAGUUGUUGAAGAUCAAGUGUCCUGUCAUGGGGUAGAGGCUGUGAUUUUCUGGAUGAUGUCUUCAAUAGGAAAGUGAUGUGAAGGUGAUGGAGGACUACACCUCGACUGCAACCACAUGGGCCACGUGGCUACAACAUGCAGGUACAAAUUGGUCUGUUUCGCACAGGACUGAGAGAAAGUAAGGUGUUCAUCUGGACUGCAUCCCAGCAAGUUGUCAUCCCUGUUCCCUAUGAUACACAGUCCUGUGCAGAGGCUGUCCUGAGGUUGAAGGCAUUCUACUCAACACACAUGCUGACAUUUAUUGUUGAGGAGCAUCAGGCAGAUUGUCACUGAGUGACAAAUAUAUAUAUGCAGCUCUGUAGAAGUAUGUAGUCAGAUGUCUCACCUGUUUGCAGUUACUAUUAAAACCUUGUUUUUCAAUUAAAAAGCCUGACUUAAUGC
ensembl:lncRNA